rnacentral:rRNA from 1 species
UACGUAGGGGGCAAGCGUUGUCCGGAAUCAUUGGGCGUAAAGAGCGUGUAGGCGGCCCGGUAAGUCCGCUGUGAAAGUCCAGGGCUCAACCCUGGGAUGCCGGUGGAUACUGUCGGGCUCGAGUCCGGAAGAGGAGUGUGGAAUUCCGUGGUGUAGCGGUGAAAUGCGCAGAGUAUCAGGAGGAACACCAAUGGCGAAGGCAGCACUCUGGGACGUGACUGACGCUGAGACGCGAAAGCGUGGGGAGCAAACAGG